CUGCAAGUUCAAAUCAGAUUUUCUACGCCCUCUCUCACCUCCAUCCAAACCUACACGGAUGAAACCUAAAUCGCUCGAACCCAAACGCCAAACUCCUAUUCACCUUGAGUUUUACCGGAAUAGAGUUAUAUUCAUAUCUCGCACACAUAUUUGGGACGAAAACAAAUGAGGAAUACUUACCAGAUUGGAGAUCCGUCGCGCCGGUUCUGGCGACGUCGACGUUCACGGGUCAAGCUCUUCCUUCUUCUUCUUCCCGCAGCUUUUUCGUUCUUGAUUUGUUGCUUUUCUGGAUUUUAGGGAUUGCAUUUCAGAAUGGAAUCACGUGUCAAAGCGUUGCGUUCAUCUCUGACGGUGUCUCAGAAUUCGUGAUGUUUGUGACGUGCGGAUACCAUAUGACAUCCAUUGUUCCUCCUCAGUCGUGCGCAAACAGCAGGAGAUAGUUGAAAUGUGUCGACGACGGCAAACGAAGGCUCACCGGAUUUAAUCUUCAACUCGAACAGGGCGUUCUCCUGCUCCGAGCUUUUGCCAGCAAUGUGGAUUCCUUGUUGUGUUGCGAUGUGGAUAGAAAAUCAACUCGACUUGAUGAUGGAGAUGAAAUUUUGAACCUCUCUUUUGUGAUUUGAAGCGUGAAAAUUUGUUAUCCCCUCCACCACCCACUGAACCGAAGCAUGAACGAGUAUAUAUAGUGAUGAGAGAGUAUAUGAUUCUGUUAGAAACUGAAUCCGAAUUCGGUUCGAAUUUUCAGUUAGAGAUGAGGCUUGGUAGCUGCCGCUUUGGAUUGUGGCUUUGGUUGGUAGCUGCGUUUCACUCUUGCCAUGGAUGUAGUAGCUCAUUUUGUUGCGGCGCCGUUUUGUGGUUAUCACUGCUGCUUAGUUUUCUGCAGUUUUAUUGCGCAUUGGCUUAUGCUUGGCGAGUGCAUUUUGUUGUUUGAUGCAGUUAGUUGCGUUGUGUAGCAGCUUUGGUUUACUGUUUCGGUUGCAUUUAAGUUGUUUUGGUAGCAGUUGAUGGCUAAUUACUUUUCCUUUCAUUGUUUUAUUUUUUGGAUGAUGUUAAUGUAUGGAUUGGAUUUUGUGGUAAUUGUAUCAACAAUGGAUAAUUGGUAUGAAUUUAAUUGUUGAAAUUGGA